rnacentral:rRNA from 1 species
AUUGAACGCUGGCGGCAGGCCUAACACAUGCAAGUCGAGCGGAUGAAGGGAGCUUGCUCCUGGAUUCAGCGGCGGACGGGUGAGUAAUGCCUAGGAAUCUGCCUGGUAGUGGGGGAUAACGUCCGGAAACGGGCGCUAAUACCGCAUACGUCCUGAUGGUGAAAGUGGGGGUUCUUCGGACCUCACGCUAUCAGAUGAGCCUAGGUCGGAUUAGCUAGUUGGUGGGGUAAAGGCCUACCAAGGCGACGAUCCGUAACUGGUCUGAGAGGAUGAUCAGUCACACUGGAACUGAGACACGGUCCAGACUCCUACGGGAGGCAGCAGUGGGGAAUAUUGGACAAUGGGCGAAAGCCUGAUCCAGCCAUGCCGCGUGUGUGAAGAAGGUCUUCGGAUUGUAAAGCACUUUAAGUUGGGAGGAAGGGCAGUAAGUUAAUACCUUGCUGUUUUGACGUUACCAACAGAAUAAGCACCGGCUAACUUCGUG